AGUGAAUCUACGGAAGUCUGGAGUCUGUACCUAAAAUGCAACUCUUGCUCUGUUGAUACAUGGUACAGAUAAGGAGGCCGCAAUAUGCAGAGAUUGAGUAAUGACCAAUAUCACCAGGCUCUUAAGUGAUGGAGCUAGUACUGACCAGGUUAAGACCACUGGUCCAAUACCAGCUGAACACUGGCUACUGGGAUGGAUACUGGCCUACCUGGAUUCUGGUUAUUGACCUGUAGAGGUCAGACCUAC